CUACGCUGACGUCACCAGGGGAGGAUACCCCCAGCAACAGCAACCCAAACACAUCUUCAACCAACAAGGUCUCAUUGACCGGGAGGCAGCGUUGGAGGAGAGAAUAAUGAGGCGCAUGGGGAACAAGAUGGACUCAAUGUACGCCCAGUUUAAAGACAUGGUGCUGGCCAUGUUCUCGUGCCAGAGAACCAUGCCACUUACCAGGUCCGAACAUAAGUGUGUAAGACAGAUCUUUCUCGAAUCUAUGGGUGGUGGUGCAUGGCCGUUCUUAGUUCGUGGAGUGAUUUGUCUGGUUAAUUCCGAUAACGAACUGAAGGUGCUGAAGCUUAUAUAGCCUUAAUUCAUGGUGGCAGUAAAAUGUUUAUUGUGUUUGAAUAUGUUUAUGUAAGUGGUUGUUGGUUUGUCCCAUUAUAAGGACACUAGCUUCUUAAAUGGAUAAAUUGCGUCUAGCAAUAGUGAGAUUGAGCAAUAACUCCAUCUAAAACUAAAUAUAACCAUGAGACCGAUAGUAAACAAGUACCGUGAGGGAAAGUUGAAAAGAACUCUGAAUAGAGAGUUAAACAGUACGUGAAACUGCUUAGAGGUUAAGCCCGAUGAACCUGAAUAUCCGUUAUGGAAAAUUCAUCAUUAAAAUUGUAAUAUUUAAAUAAUAUUAUGCGGAUAGUGUGCAUUUUCCAUAUAAGGGCAUAUACCAAAUAAUUAUCAUUGAUUUUUGUGUUUAUUAUAUGCACUUGUAUGAUUAACAAUGCGAAAGAUUCAGGAUACCUUCGGGACCCGUCUUGAAACACGGACCAAGGAGUCUAACAUAUGGGCAAGUUAUUGGGAUAUAAACCUAAUAACUAUAAUGGGAAUAGUUUUUAACUAUUUAUAGCUAAUUAACACAAUCCCGGGGCGUUCUAUAUAGUUAUGUAUAAUGUAUAUUUAUAUUAUUUAUGCCUCUAACUGAAACGUACCUUGAGCAUUUAUGCUGUGACCGUAAAGAUGGUGAACUAUACUUGAUCAGGUUGAAGUCAGGGGAAACCCUGAUGGAAGACCGAAACAGUUCUGACGUGCAAAUCGAUUGUCAGAAUAGAGUAUAGGGGCGAAAAACCAAUCGAACGAUCUAGUAGCUGGUUCCUUCCGAAGUUUCCCUCAGGAUAGCUGGUGCAUUUUAAUAUUAUAUAAAAUAAUCUUAUCUGGUAAAGCGAAUGAUUAGAGGCCUUAGGGUCGAAACGAUGUUAACCUAUUCUCAAACUUUAAAUGGGUAAGAACCUUAACUUUCUUGAUAUGAAGUUCAAUGUUAUGAUAUAAAAUGGAUGGCGCUUAAGUUGUAUACCUAUACAUUACCGCUAAAGUAGAUGAUUUAUAUUACUUGUGAUAUAAAUUUUGAACCUUUGGUGAGUACGAAGGUACAAUGGUAUGCGUAGAAGUGUUUGGCGUAAGCCUGCCAUUGGUACAGAUCUUGGUGGUAGUAGCAAAUAAUCGAAUGAGACCUUGGAGGACUGAAGUGGAGAAGGGUUUCGUGUGAACAGUGGUUGAUCACGAGUUAGUCGGUCCUAAGUUCAAGGCAAAAGCCAAAAAUUUUCAAGUAAAACAAAAAUGCCAAAUUAUAUAAACAAAGCGAAAAUAAUACACUUGAAUAAUUUUGAACGAAAGGGAAUAUGGUUCCAAUUCAGUAACCUGUUGAGUAUCCGUUUGUUAUUAAAUAUGGGCCUCGUGCUCAUCCUGGCAACAGGAACGACUAUAAAGAAGCCGUCGAGAGAUAUCGGAAGAGUUUUCUUUUCUGUUUUAUAGCCGUACCACCAUGGAAGUCUUUCGCAGAGAGAUAUGGAAGAUGGGCUAGAAGAGCAUGACAUAUACUGUUGUGUCGAUAUUUUCUCCUCGGACCUUGAAAAUUUAUGGUGGGGACACGCAAACUUCUCAACAGGCCGUACCAAUAUCCGCAGCUGGUCUCCAAGGUGAAGAGUCUAUGUCGAUAGAAUAAUGUAGGUAAGGGAAGUCGG
rnacentral:rRNA from 1 species